rnacentral:rRNA from 1 species
UACGUAGGGUGCGAGCGUUGUCCGGAAUUACUGGGCGUAAAGAGCUCGUAGGUGGUUUGUCACGUCGUCUGUGAAAUCCCGGGGCUUAACCUCGGACGUGCUUCAGAUACUGCUUGUCUUGAGUUCGUGAUAGGAAGACGGAAUUCAGGGUGUAGCGGUGAAAUGCACAGAUAUCCUGAGGAACACCGGUGGCGAAAGCGGUCUUCUGGCGCGAAACUGACGCUGAGGCUCGAAAGCGUGGGUAGCAAACGGGAUUAGAUACCCGUGUAGUCCCU